CCUACGGGCGGCAGCAGUGGGGAAUAUUGGGCAAUGGAGGCAACUCUGACCCAGCAACGCCGCGUGAAUGAUGAAGGUCUUCGGAUUGUAAAGUUCUGUGAUGGGGGAUGAACACAAUGACGGUACCCCAAUAGCAAGCCACGGCUAACUACGUGCCAGCAGCCGCGGUAAUACGUAGGUGGCAAGCGUUAUCCGGAAUGACUGGGCGUAAAGGGUGCGUAGGUGGUUUAGUAAGUUGGCGGUGUAAUUCCGGGGCUCAACCUCGGCGCUACCGCCAAAACUAUUAGACUAGAGUGCAGGGGGGGUAAGUGGAAUUCCUAGUGUAGCGGUGGAAUGCGUAGAUAUUAGGAGGAACAUCAGGGGGGAAGGCGACUUACUGGACUGUAACUGACACUGAGGCACGAAAGCGUGGGGAGCAAACAGGAUUAGAUACCCCAGUAGUC
rnacentral:rRNA from 1 species